UGGGGAAUAUUGCACAAUGGGCGCAAGCCUGAUGCAGCCAUGCCGCGUGUAUGAAGAAGGCCUUCGGGUUGUAAAGUACUUUCAGCGGGGAGGAAGGGAGUAAAGUUAAUACCUUUGGUCAUUGACGUUACCCGCAGAAGAAGCACCGGCUAACUCCGUGCCAGCAGCCGCGGUAAUACGGAGGGUGCAAGCGUUAAUCGGAAUUACUGGGCGUAAAGCGCACGCAGGCGGUCUGUCAAGUCGGAUGUGAAAUCCCCGGGCUCAACCUGGGAACUGCAUUCGAAACUGGCAGGCUAGAGUCUUGUAGAGGGGGGUAGAAUUCCAGGUGUAGCGGUGAAAUGCGUAGAGAUCUGGAGGAAUACCGGUGGCGAAGGCGGCCCCCUGGACAAAGACUGACGCUCAGGUGCGAAAGCGUGGGGAGCAAACA
rnacentral:rRNA from 1 species